rnacentral:rRNA from 1 species
AGAGUUUGAUCCUGGCUCAGAGUGAACGCUGGCGGCAGGCCUAACACAUGCAAGUCGAACGGCAGCAUGAGAGAGCUUGCUCUCUUGAUGGCGAGUGGCGGACGGGUGAGGAACACAUCGGAAUCUGCCCAGUCGUGGGGGAUAACGUAGGGAAACUUACGCUAAUACCGCAUACGACCUACGGGUGAAAGCAGGGGAUCUUCGGACCUUGCGCGAUUGGAUGAGCCGAUGUCGGAUUAGCUAGUUGGCGGGGUAAAGGCCCACCAAGCCGACGAUCUGUAGCUGGUCUGAGAGGACGAUCAGCCACACUGGGACUGAGACACGGCCCAGACUCCUACGGGAGGCAGCAGUGGGGAAUUUUGGACAAUGGGCGCAAGCCUGAUCCAGCAAUGCCGCGUGCAGGAUGAAGGCCUUCGGGUUGUAAACUGCUUUUGUACGGAACGAAAAGCUUCGGGCUAAUACCCUGGAGUCAUGACGGUACCGUAAGAAUAAGCACCGGCUAACUACGUGCCAGCAGCCGCGGUAAUACGUAGGGUGCAAGCGUUAAUCGGAAUUACUGGGCGUAAAGCGUGCGCAGGCGGUUUUGUAAGA